UGUAGGAGUGAGCCUGCUCGCGAUAGCGGUGUGUCAGUUGAUAUCAAUUUUGACUGACACGCCGCUAUCGCGAGCAGGCUCACUCCUACA
rnacentral:misc_RNA from 1 species